UUUAUUACUCAGUAACUAAAUUUUGAAUUUUAAAAAGCCCCAAAAAAAGUUUACAAAAAUAUAAUACAAACCCUUAACCAAUUCACUUUCACAAAAUAGACGGAGUAAUACACCAUGUUAAAUAGAUAAUAUUAGAAGGCAAGAAGUCAUUUCGCAAAGGCAAUAAAUAUAGCUAAUCAUGGAGAAAGCUGGAUACCAUUAAGCAGGUGCAAGCGAGUUUUAAUAUACAAUAUAUAUAUACUUGCAUAUAUAUAAAUAAGUAUGCACAUUUGUGCUUACGUCUUUGCACAUACAUAUGUACAUGUGUGUAUGUGAUAUCUACAUAGAUAUGUGCAUAUGUAUAUCUUGUAUUCGGCGACAUUCCCGAUUACGACAAUACAAAAAAGAAGUCAUACAUAUAAAAUGUUCAUCGGUUUGAAUGCACUUUAUAACGAGUGCAUAUACACGACGAACAUUAGCGAAUACACGAUUUUUUCUUGGUUAUGAAAAAUUAAUGAAACGACAAACACACCAACAGACUCAACCAUUAUAAAAAUCCAUAAUUGUAUCUAGAAUGCGUAGAUGUGCAAACCCAAAAGUAUACAUACAUACAUGCAUUUGUGCAUUUUGUCUCCGUACUUUGACAUUUCUAACCGGAGCAUAUGUAUAUGAACAUCUACAUAGAAUCGUACUAUUUUCUUAAUUCAUCACUUUUUCUACAAUAAGCUACAAAUUAUAAGCUUCAUAUAUUAUUAUAUUAAAUAUUUGUCGUAGCAUAAUCGAUGGGGUGGUAUCAUAAGAGUGGUGUCAUUGUGUGAAAACGAGCGAGAGGAGAAACAUAAAACUUAAAAAAAAAAACACUCAACUAAUUUCCAACUUCUCUACCAUACAAACGCAAACAUAGUCAUUGACGUCGCCAUCGCAAUUGCCAUCUCGCGGAACCACUCGCCGUCGCGGAGACAAACGAAGCAAACUCGAAUGAAAUCAAAUCCAGUGGGGUAAGGUGUGAUAUGCGGUCGCGAAUGGGGAGCUCUACUACAGGCACUGUACGACGGUCAAAUGCAAGCAUUCAAACAUACAUACACGAAUAUUUACAUAAAGCAAACACAAGCACAAGCAAAAGUCCAGUACCACAAAUUUCAAUUAUGCAAAGCACUGCGAUCAUAAAGAAGAAAUCAAAUCGUUUUUCUCCGUCACACAGAACUUUUUCAGAAUAUUUUCUCACAAUUUUCGUUCAAUAUGAACUUUUAGCAUGCGGUUUUUAUUUCUUACUGUUUUUCUUUGUUUUUUUUUUUCUUUACUUAUUUUGUCUCUUUGGCAUCAUUUUUUAUCUAUUUCAUUUUAUGUAUUUUUUUAUCACAGAUAUUUAUUGCACUUUAUUGUUUAUGUUCAUUAUUUACUCUGGCGAUUACAAACUCUGAGAAGUGAUUUAUCAAUAAAAAAGAUUUAUGAUAAAAAAAAUUCACUGCUGUCGCUUUUUGGUGAAACGUAACCAAAUAGCAAUGUCCAACAGCAGAAAAUGAAAUGAAAAAACCCAAUAUCGCCUUCGUUGGUUAUCGUGGACGCGAAGUACAGAAAUUUUUCUUCUACUCGUUUUCUCCCCAAUUCUCGAUUUUCACCGAAUGUCUGCAAUUCAACUGUAGCAAAAAAUUUUCAAAGUCAUUUUUUACAGUAACUACACAAUUUCUUCACAAAAUUUUUAUUGCAAAUAAUAGCCGGCCACUGAGACGUACGCACCAAAUCAAAGACCUCCAUUUUGUUUUCAGAAUUCUUUCCUUUUGCCGACGACGAUAGAAAUGACAGCGGAAAACGGCGAUUGCGGCGAUUUAAUCCACAGCGUUGCCAUAAAAUAACCAAAAAAUGCCAAAUCGCACUGUGAAUAGGGGAUUUGUGAGAAGUACUAUGUUGAGGAAAUUUGAAGAUUUCAAAAGUAAACGCACUAAAAUUUUUGCAUCACAAUAAAUAU
rnacentral:lncRNA from 1 species